rnacentral:rRNA from 1 species
ACGAACGCUGGCGGCGUGCUUAACACAUGCACGUCGAACGCGCCUGUCCUCUGGGUUUCUGGGGGGUGGGUGAGUGGCGAACGGGUGAGUAACACGUGAGUAACCUGCCCCCUUCUUCGGGAUAACGGUCUGAAAGGGCUGCUAAUACCGGGUAUUCACUGGUCUCCGCAUGGGGUCUGGUGGAAAGGUUUUUUUCUGGUGGGGGAUGGGCUCGCGGCCUAUCAGCUUGUUGGUGGGGUGAUGGCCCACCAAGGCUUUGACGGGUAGCCGGCCUGAGAGGGUGACCGGUCACAUUGGGACUGAGAUACGGCCCAGACUCCUACGGGAGGCAGCAGUGGGGAAUAUUGCACAAUGGGCGCAAGCCUGAUGCAGCGACGCCGCGUGAGGGAUGGAGGCCUUCGGGUUGUGAACCUCUUUCGCCCGUGGUCAAGCCGCGACGUGGGUCGUGGUGAGGGUAGUGGGUAAAGAAGCGCCGGCUAACUACGUG